rnacentral:rRNA from 1 species
CGUCUAGGCGGCCUUUUAAGUCUGAUGUGAAAAUGCGGGGCUCAACUCCGUAUUGCGUUGGAAACUGGAAGGCUAGAGUAUCAGAGAGGUGGGCGGAACUACAAGUGUAGAGGUGAAAUUCGUAGAUAUUUGUAGGAAUGCCGAUUGGGAAGCCAGCUCACUGGAUGAAUACUGACGCUGAAGCGCGAAAGCGUGGGGAGCAAACG